UAAAUCGAAUAAAAUGGUAACAUAUCAUGAACUUUAAAAUGGAGUGUGAAAAUCUACGGAAGAGUUCUCUUUUCUUCUUAACAAAAGUAAACUCCACUGAAAUGAAUCAAUCAGAGAAGUGGAAUUUAUUGGCUUUGUAAGAAAUUCAACAUAUGAUUGAAUUGUGGUAUUUUUGCAGUCUUCAUAAAAAUUAAAGGGAAUCUUAGCAUAAAGCUAAUUAAAGAAUUCUUUUGCUCGUACUAAUAACCGCAACAGGUCUCCAAGAAGCAAAAUCUUUAGUUAAAUAGAAUAACGCAGGUAAGGGAAGUCGGCAACAUAGCUCUGUAAGUUAGCAAGAAAGAGUAGCUCUGGUGAUUUCCUUGUAAAAGGAUUAAAAUCGAAUCAGAACUUUAAAGGUUAGGGGAAUCCGACUGUUUAAUAAAAACAUAGCAUUCUGAUAAAUCUAAAAGGUUCAUUACAGAAUGUGAUUUCUGCCCAGUGCUCUGAAUGUCAAGGUAAUGAAAUUUACUUAAGCGCGGGUUAACGGCGGGAGUAACUAUGACUCUCUUAAGGUAGCCAAAUGCCUCGUCAUCUAAUUAGUGACGCGCAUGAAUGGAUCACCGUGAUUCCCACUGUCCCUAUCUGCAAUCUAGUGAAACCACAGUCAAGGGAACGGGCUUGAUUGGAACGGCGGGGAAAGAAGACCCUGUUGAGCUUGACUCUAAUUUAUCAUGUGAAAUCGAUUUUUUGGUAUAGGCUAGGUGGGAGACUUUGUCAAACGUGUAAUACCACCACUAGAAAUACUAUUUCACUCAUUUCGUUAAAUGUUAAAAUGGAUUUUCCAUUAAUUUAAAAACAUUAAAACUUCGGUUGAAACAGGCGAUUGAAAAAGAUAGACGGGGAGUUUGGCUGGGGCGGCACAUCUGUUACAAGAUAACGCAGGUGUCCAAAGAUGAACUCAAUGAGGACAGAAACCUCAUGUAGAAUAUAAGGGUAUAAGUUCAUUUGAUUAUUGAUUCCAGUACAAUCAAUAACUCUGAAAUGAUGGCCUAACGAUCCUAAGAUUUUAACUAGAAAAAUUUAAAACAUAUUAGAUUUAUCUGAUGUGUGAGACCGUAAGGUGAUUUCUAGUUAAUCCUUUAAUAAUAAGGCUUGGGGUGUCAGAAAAGUUACCACAGGGAUAACUGGCUUGUGGCAGCCAAGCGCUCAUAGCGACGUUGCUUUUUGAUCCUUCGAUGUCGGCUCUUCCUAUCCAUUUCAAGCAGAAUUGAAAAAAGGUAUGAUUGUUCACCAUUUAAUAGGGAACGUGAGCUGGGUUUAGACCGUCGUGAGACAGGUUAGUUUUACCCUACCGUUUCGGUAGAUCUUCAAAGUAUUUAGAUAGUAGCACAACUCAGUACGAGAGGAACCGUUGUGUCACGCCACUGGAUUAUUCAAUUAUUUGAUCAAAUAGUGUUGAGAAUCUAACACGUGUUGAAAUAAUGGCUGAAAGCCUCUCAAGCCAGAAUUUCGUCUAGAUGAAUACUUUGUCUUUUUCUUGUUACUUUAGUACAAUUGAAAAUUAUAUACGUUGUAUUUAUUAUCUCGUGUAUUACUCUAUCAAAAGGGUAGUGAAUACUGAGUUAACAAAAUUCAAAGCAUAACUGUUGCUUAUAGACGAUGGCAUCAGAAAUCGGUGUUGUAAGCUUUAGAGUUUCUUAAUCAAUACUCUCGGGUAUUG
rnacentral:rRNA from 1 species